UCAGUCCCCCAUGUUACCUCCCUAGGAGAACCUAGUGGCCCCUGCUCCCUACCUUCCUUGUCUGUCUUGUCAUCUAGUUGGCCUGAAAUCCACUAGUUCCUAAAGUGAUGAAGGGUCAGGGACUCCUAGGGGACCUUCUUUCAAUUAGGGACUUGCCCCAGCACCAGGGAGGGCACCAAGAAUUAAGCUAAAGAGAAAGCUCAGUUUGUGAGUGGGGGCAGAGCUGGCUUUCAGCCUGGGCCAACCCUGCCAUAGCAGGCUAUAGCUGGCCCUGUCUUUGGAGAAGCCAGAAGGGAGAGAUGGGUACAUAUCUGGAAGACUUGGUUUCUUCCUUCCAAGCCCUCUGGACUGACUGGUCUGGAAAAGACUACACGGUGUGUGACACCAGCUGAUGAAGAUUUGUGACAAGAUGAUGGUACCUUAGUGGCUGCACCAAGCUCUGGGGCACAAGUCCAUACUG
rnacentral:lncRNA from 1 species